rnacentral:rRNA from 1 species
UACGGGAGGCAGCAGUGGGGAAUAUUGCACAAUGGGCGCAAGCCUGAUGCAGCCAUGCCGCGUGUAUGAAAAAGGCCUUCGGGUUGUAAAGUACUUUCAGUCGUGAGGAAGGUGUUAAGGUUAAUAACCUUAGCAAUUGACGUUAGCGACAGAAGAAGCACCGGCUAACUCCGUGCCAGCAGCCGCGGUAAUACGGAGGGUGCGAGCGUUAAUCGGAAUUACUGGGCGUAAAGGGCACGCAGGCGGUUAAUUAAGUUGGAUGUGAAAUCCCCGGGCUUAACCUGGGAAUGGCAUUCAAGACUGGUUAGCUAGAGUCUUGUAGAGAGGGGUAGAAUUCCAUGUGUAGCGGUGAAAUGCGUAGAGAUGUGGAGGAAUACCGGUGGCGAAGGCGGCCCCUGGACAAAGACUGACGCUCAUGUGCGAAAGCGUGGGGAGCAAACGAGGGAUUAGAUACC